rnacentral:rRNA from 1 species
CACGUAGGGCGCAAGCGUUGUCCGGAAUUAUUGGGCGUAAAGAGCUCGUAGGCGGUCUGUUGCGUCCGCUGUGAAAACUCGGGGCUUAACCCCGGGCCUGCAGUGGGUACGGGCAGACUAGAGUGCGGUAGGGGAGACUGAAAUUCCUGGUGUAGCGGUGAAAUGCGCAGAUAUCAGGAGGAACACCGGUGGCGAAGGCGGAUCUCUGGGCCGUAACUGACGCUGAGGAGCGAAAGCGUGGGGAGCGAACAGG